AUUGAACGCUGGCGGCAGGCCUAACACAUGCAAGUAGAACGAGUGGCGGACGGGUGAGUAAUGUCUGGGAAACUGCCCGAUGGAGGGGGAUACCUACUGGAAACGUUAGCUAAUACCGCAUACCAUCGUAUGUGCCCAGAUGGGAUUGGCUAUUAGGUGGGGUAAUGGCUCACCUAGGCGACGAUCCCUAGCUGGCCUGAGAGGAUGACCAGCCACACUGGACCGGGGAAACGGUCCAGACUCCUACGGGAGGCAGAAGAGGGGAAUAUUGGAAAAUGGGGGAAAGCCUGAUGCAGCCAUGCCGGGUGGAUGAAGAAGGCCGUCGGGUUGUAAAGUACUUUCAGCGGGGAGGCGUUACCCGAAGAAGAAGCAACGACUAACUCCGUGCCAGCAGCCGCGGUAAUUC
rnacentral:rRNA from 1 species